rnacentral:rRNA from 1 species
CAGCCCUAAACGAUGCGCGUUAGGUGUAUCGGUGACCACGAGUCACCGAGGUGCCGAAGGGAAACCGUGAAACGUGCCGCCUGGGAAGUACGGUCGCAAGGCUGAAACUUAAAGGAAUUGGCGGGGGGAGCACCACAACGGGUGGAGCCUGCGGUUUAAUUGGACUCAACGCCGGGAAGCUCACCGGAUAAGACAGCGGAAUGAUUGCCGGGCUGAAGACCCUGCAUGACCAGCUGAGAGGAGGUGCAUGGCGUAGUCGUG